AUGAAAAGAUUAUUAAAAGAGUAUCCUACCUUGAAAAUGAAGUGCUCUCUGAGAGGAACACACAUUAGCCCAUCAACAUGUGCUCUCAACUCAAAGCAGAUAACGUUUCCGCAGAUAAACUCCGUUUGUCACCAUCUACAUCACUCCAGCCUCUCGCUUUGGAAGCACAUCACCUUUGAAACAGUUCUGAUUAAAAAAAAAAAUACAGCAUGUAUGUAUGUAUGUAUUUUUUUUUAUUAUAUAUAUAUAUAUAUUCUUCUUCUUGUAUCUCAGGCGUUGUACUUUCUGUUUCUGUCAGCUCACACUGACUCAUUUAUUAUGUCUGUAGUUUCCUGUGGGGGAGUGAACAGUUUUCUGCUGCUUUUUUAAAUUCCUACUUCUGCUAUUUAUCUCUCAGUGUUGCCUGAUCUGUGCUCAUGAGGAAAAAAAUUCUCCAGAGAGAUGUUGUUUUUGCUUUACUAUUAUAUUUAACUAGUCUUUAAUUACUAUGUACUUAUAUUUAAAUUAAUAACUUUGAUACAGUGUACGUAUUGUGUACAUGUUUUCACAUUGUACUUUCAUUUUUAAAAUACAUUCCUGUAAUAACAUCUGUAAAUAAUUUCUGUAUUUACAUCUAUAAUUAACCUACGACCCUGUUUUAGUUACCCUAAAAACAUCCAUGGAUAAUUACUUCAAUUUAUAUCGAUUGACUGAAAACAGAGCCAGGCAUCUAUGAUUCCAGUCAGUUGUGGAAUAUAUAAUUCAAUACAAAAUACUGACUGAAAGCUAUUGAGGAAAAAGCCCAUUUCUUUUUCUUUCUUUCUUGAUUAAUUCUGUCUGCAAACUCAUCACGUAUUCUGCAUAAAUAUAUUUUUGAUAUCAAAUUUGUUCAAUCUUGUCAAACAUUUAUGCUGUCAGAAUGUCAACUCAGUCAUGUCAUGCACAACCCCAAUUUCCAAAAAAGGUGGGACAGUCUAUGGAUAAUGCAAAAAUUACAAACAAAAAGAGUCAUAUGAAGAUGACCUGUCACCCUGUACUAUAUUGCAAACACAUUAUUAACAUUAUUUGGAGUUUUACUUUGUGAAUUUAAAAUGAAGACUGCAACACGUUCCAAAAAAGUUGGGAAAGGGUAAUUUAGGACUUAUAGUGAUGUGACAAGUAGAAAUAAGAAGUUGAUGUGAAAUAGGGAAGCCAAUCAUGUAAUCAUAAGGAGCCUCCAAAAAAGGCUCGCCAAUCUGCCAACAGCUGCAUCAGUGAAUAAUUCAACAGUUUGAGAGCAACAUUCCCCAAAGACAAAUUGGUGGGAAUUUGGGCAGUUCACCUUCUCCAGUGCACAAUAUAAUAAAAAGAUUCAAGGAAUGCAGCCAAAUCUCGGUGCGUAAAGGGCAAAUGCGCAUGAUCUACAUUUCCUCAGCAUCACUGUCUAAAACCGUCAUGAGUCUGUAAUAGAUAUCCUGACAUGGGCUCAGGAAUACUUUGGUAAACCUUUUUCAGAGAACACCAUUCACCACUGCAUCCACAGAUGCAAGUUAAGCCUUUACUAUGCAAAGCAGAAGCCAUUCAUCAACACUGUCCAGACUUCUCUGGGCUCGAUCUCAU
rnacentral:lncRNA from 1 species